UUUCCGACUUCCGCUUGUUAACCAACCAGCAUUCCGGGCCACCUUAUAACGGGGUGAGGCGCUCUUUUUGCCCUCCUCUUGCUCGUUGGUCUCGAGUCCGCUCCUUCCGGGUUGUAUCGCCCCGGUCUCCCCUGGCAGCUGAUCGGGCUGCGGCUUCGCUGCCGGUUCAGUGUCUGGCAGACUGCUCUCUCAGCCGCCUAUUUGGGGUGCCUCGCUGCUGCUGCUCGGGUGCGGAGCAUGCCACCGCUGCUCCAGACUGGGCUGGGCAGCUGCUAAAGAGAGAGGAACUGCUGCUUUGCCUUGGCGUUUGUUUUUAUUGGUUCGUCUCGCCGCUCCUCCAACCCGCUUGCCCGUCCGCCGCCUUGAGUGCCGUUGGCCGUGGACCGACUGUUGCCGACCGCGGCGCCUGACGGCUCUGCUCGCGGCGGAUAGCCGGCACCAGAGUCGGGCCUGGUCGGCCAGCCCUGCACGUGGCAUAGACCAACAUCUUAACGAGUGGACGAAUGUUUGGGGGUUUCCCCAUUUUCUUUGUCUUAUUUUAUUAGAUUGUUUAAUUGUUAUUGGGGUUAUUUUCUGGGAUUGGGAUGAUUUGUGUUUCUGUUGCAUUUGUGUUAUUUCAUUAAUCUUUGGUAUAUUUGGAUUAUUUAGGUAAUUUGGCCAGGUUAUUUGUAUUUUUGAUAUUAAUUUGUAUUUGUUAAUUCGUUCUUUUGAAUUUAUUUCCUUUUCUUACUGUGAAUUUAGAUUAUUUUGGGGCAGAUUUCAUUGAAUCCUUGAGUUUGGAAUUUGUGGUCUGCCCACCUUUGUAUUUAUAUUUUGAUUUAUCUUUUUGGUAAGUUUGGCUUUAAUUGAUUUCCUUUGGGUAUGACCCCACCCACUACCUGGUGCAUGUGUGCUUGCCACGUGAGACUGGGGAGUGGUUUGUUUUUCUUGGUUUAUUUUGAGAGUUCUCACCCCGUCUGUGACCCAUUCCCUCCACCGGUAAGCCUCAGCCCUGAUUAGUGUUCCCCCCAUUUGGUUAUAGCGUGUGUGUGUGGUGGUUUUAGAGUUUGUUGUUUAUUUUGUAAUAAAGUGUAUUUUUCUUACCUGGAA